GCUGGUGCUUUAGAUAGAUGACAGGUUACCCUGGACGGUAGUGACGUGAUUGCAAGGCGUUAUUACCGUUUACAUA
rfam:Clostridium saccharolyticum WM1, complete genome.